ACCCUUCUGGAGGAGGACAGGAAUCUUUGAAAACUAAUUUGGGAAGGUAAAGAAUAUUUUUUUCUUCAAAGGUUAAAGGAUUCUAAGUUUUUCCAAGACUGGGCUCCCCACCACUUAAACGUGGAUGUACUUGCUUUGAAACGAAAGAAGUAAGUGCUUCCAUGUUUUGGUGAUGGAUCUGGACCUACCUCAAUUGCUUUUGCUGCUUGUUCUUUUGUUUCAAAUUCUACAAAUGCAAAUCCUUUCGGAUCUCCAGUAGAUUUAUAAUGUGGUAUACUUAUAUAAACCACAUUGCCACAUUUCCCAAAGACUCUUUCAAUCCAACUGUGAUUAACAUUUUUAGGAAGUAACUCCUAGGAUAAAUUAGAAGCAACAUUAGUUUUUCACAAUGCUUAUUUUCUGAAUGUCAAUAAAUUUUCAUCUUAAUUAUG